AGACAUGAUAUAAAGUUUGAGCUACUGUUUAUCUUGUUCCUACUACACUAAGUUCUGGAGAUUUAAUUUCAAAACUUACAAAUCACAUGAUGAGUUCCUAGCAUAAAAAACUUCCUACCACAGCCAUACUUGCUAUAACAUCUUUUACUAUAUUCAUAUUGAGUUUGAUCGAGCUGUGUAGACCCUUAGGAGCUUUUCAUGUGGUUAAAUUAAGAUAUUCACUUGCACACAUCCACCACACCAUUCACCACCAAUCAUUAAAAUUGCUAAAAAUAUUAUCACUCACUGUCCCAAGUGUUGUUAUUCUCUCUCUCCAAAAAGAUUCAAUGCAGAAGAGCCAUGGGUUAUGCAAAAAUAUGCGAGGAAAUAAAAAGGGGCAAGUGCCUGGAACCUCAAAAAAAGUGAGACGAGAGGUAGAAAUGGACAAGUGUCCGGAGUAGAAAUAGGGGUACAAAGAUGCCCACUUGAGCGGAAAAAAUGGACAAGUGUCCGACAGUAGAAUUAGGGGUAUCUACUACCCACCUGAAAAAAAAGAAAAAGAUAGCCCAUGUUCUCCCAAAGCAAAGAUCAAAGAAGAGGAGAGAUAGCAAUAUGAGGAGCAAUGAGAAGUAAGUUUUAUUAUCACUUAUACAAUUUUAUCAUCACUAUCAUUUACCCCACCACACAUGCACAUUUAAUUAUAUGUUGAGUUCCUUUGGAUCCAUGGCUCGAUUAGACAACAUAUGUAUGAGCUAUUUUUCACUCCUAUGAGCUCCACUUAAAUAUUCCAUUAGCUAUAGGUAAGUGACAUUUUGGUAAGGAUCCACAAAUACCACAUAUAGAGAGACUUGAGAGAAUCAUUGCUGGAACUCUGAGUUUUAUUUUUGAAAACUGAUGCAAAACCCC
rnacentral:lncRNA from 1 species